CAUUGCUACUUCUUCAGUUGAGACCUCACAAAUGUCACCUGGAUCACUGUAAAACAUUAAACUUGAUCACUUGAUCACUAGUUCCCACUUUAGAAUAAGUGAUCAGGGAAGGCCUCUCUAAGAAAAUAACACGUGUGGCCGGGUGUGGUGGCUCAUGCCUGUAAUCCCAGCACUUCGGGAGGCUGAGGUGGGAGAAUCACUUGAACCCGGGAGGCGGAGGUUGCAGUGAGUAGAGAUCGUGCCACUGCACUCCAGCCCGGGUGACAGAGCAAGACUCCAUCUAAAAAAAAA
rnacentral:lncRNA from 10 species